rnacentral:lncRNA from 1 species
UGCAUAAGACUAAUCCUUCAGCACAUAUCUCUGCUGAUAAUUCUCAUAAUGUAUAAGCAUAAUAAAUAAUAACGCCAUUAUGUUUCUUUCCUAAUCUUUCUUUGACCUUUUCAGCAAAUAAGUAGGGAAGACCAGCAAUAAACUUUUCUUUCCAAUGAUCAAGCUGACAGUCUUCUCUUAUCAAUAAUCUUGAAAAGAAUACAUCUUUACACCAUUUAUAAUGAGAUAGG